AUUAAAAUGACUGUGUCUAUAGGAAAGCAGAGGCGGUAUUAAUUAGAUGAUAAAUUUGUGUUAAGUUGUUUGUCACUUGCAAUAGUUUCACUAUGUCUGAUGUAGACUUAUGGAAGCACCACAUGAAUUCAGUGGGAGCACAUAAGAUGAUAAAUGCAGCUAACAGGCUAAAAUAUCACAAUUGCUGAUGCAAAGAUUAACUAUCUGUAGUCAAUAGGUGUUGUUUUUGUAAGAAUUUAGCAGAAUCAUUGCAGCACCUUCUACGGAGGUGUAUUUAGUUGGCCAUUAUGUCAUGGGAUGUUGUGAGUAUCCAGGGUGAUUUGAGAGUUGAUUGAAAUGAAUUGUGGACUUAAAGAGG
rnacentral:misc_RNA from 1 species